UACGGGGGGAGCAAGCGUUGUUCGGAUUUACUGGGCGUAAAGGGCGCGUAGGCGGCCACCGCAAGUCGGUUGUGAAAUCUCUGGGCUUAACCCAGAAAGGUCAACCGAUACUGCGGGGCUAGAGUGCAGAAGGGGCAACUGGAAUUCUCGGUGUAGCGGUGAAAUGCGUAGAUAUCAGGAGGAACACCAAUGGCGAAGGCAGCUCGCUGGGACGUGACUGACGCUGAGACGCGAAAGCGUGGGGAGCAAACAGG
rnacentral:rRNA from 1 species